rnacentral:lncRNA from 1 species
GAAGUUCGGAGUAGAGAUCCGGCUGGUGGAGCCCGUCCGUUGUAGAAGUUCGGAUGGAGUCUGGCUCUUGUAGAAGCUUGGAUGAAGUCCGCUUGCAAUAGAAGUUCGGAGUAGAGUCGAUCACUAUAGAAAAUCGCCUGAUAGUGAAGCUCAGAGAGCGUUUGGAGCAGUCCAGUAGAUGAAUGGAGGAGCUCAUUAUUGGAGAAAUUCGGAUGGUAUUAUGGAAGCUCGGACAGUCGGGGGAGUUCAGAAAGACGCCGCACA